rnacentral:rRNA from 1 species
CACCAAGGCUAAGACGGGUAGCUGGUCUGAGAGGAUGGUCAGCCACACUGGGACUGAGACACGGCCCAGAGUCCUGCGGGAUGCAGCAGUCAGGAAUAUUGCGCAAUGGAGGAAACUCUGACGCAGCAACGCCGCGUGGGUGAUGAAGGCCUUCGGGUCGUAAAGCCCUGUCGGAGGGGAAGAAAAGCUGUCUGGCUAAUAUCCAGGCGGCAUAUGACGGUACCCUCAAAGGAAGCACCGGCUAACUCCGUGCCAGCAGCCGCGGUAAGACGGAGGGUGCAAGCGUUGUUCAGAUUGACUGGGCGUAAAGGGCGUGUAGGCGGUUGGCCAAGUCCGAUGUGAAAGCCCGGGGCUCAGCCUCGGAAGUGCAUCGGAAACUAGCCGGCUGGAGCGCGAUAGAGGAGGGUA